UACGAAGGGGGCUAGCGUUGUUCGGAAUUACUGGGCGUAAAGCGCGCGCAGGCGGUUCUCAAGUCAGAGGUGAAAGCCCAGAGCUCAACUCUGGAAUGGCCUUUGAGACUAGAGAACUAGGGUACGGGAGAGGUGAGUGGAAUUCCGAGUGUAGAGGUGAAAUCGUAGAUAUUCGGAAGAACACCAGUGGCGAAGGCGGCUCACUGGCCCGUUACCGACGCUCAGGCGCGACAGCGUGGGGAGCAAACAGG
rnacentral:rRNA from 1 species